rnacentral:rRNA from 1 species
AGCUUGUUGGCGGGGUAAUGGCCCACCAAGGCUACGACGGGUAGGUGGUCUGAGAGGAUGGUCACCCACACUGGGACUGAGACACUGCCCAGACUCCUACGGGAGGCUGCAGUCGAGAAUCUUCCGCAAUGGGCGCAAGCCUGACGGAGCGAUGCCGCGUGAGGGAUGAAGGCCUUCGGGUUGUAAACCUCUGUCAUCCGGGACGAAAACAAUGACGGUACCGGAAAAGGAAGCCACGGCUAACCACGUGCCAGCAGCCGCGGUAACACGUGGGUGGCGAGCGUUAUUCGGGUUUACUGGGCGUAAAGGGUCCGCAGGGGGCCUGCCACGCCUGCCGUGAAAUUCCAAGGCUCAACCUUGGACCUGCGGCGGGUACGGGCGGGCUAGAGUGCAAGAAGGGCAGACGGAAUUCCAGGUGUAGCGGUGGAAUGCGUAGAUAUCUGGAAGAACACCGAUGGCGAAGGCGGUCUGCUGGCUUGUAACUGACCCUCAGGGACGAGAGCGUGGGUAGCAAACAGGAUUAGAUACCCUGGUAGUCCACGCCGUAAACGUUGUGUGCCAGAUGUGGGUGGGUUCGGCCCCAUCCGCGUCCAAGCUAACGCGGUAAGCACACCGCCUGGGGACUACGGCCGCAAGGCUAAAACUCAAAGGAAUUGACGGGGGCCCGCACAAGCGGUGGAGCAUGUUGCUUAAUUCGAGGCAACGCGAAGAACCUUACCCAGGUUUGACAUGCUUUCGACCGGCGUUGAAAGACGCCUUUCCUUCGGGACGGAAGCACAGAUGCUGCAUGGCUGUCGUCAGCUCGUGCCGUGAGGUGUUCGGUUAAGUCCGGCAACGAGCGCAACCCGUACUGCCAGUUACCAUCAAGUAAUGUUGGGGACUCUGGCGGGACUGCCCGUGUCAAGCGGGAGGAAGGCGCGGAUGACGUCAAGUCCGUAUGGCUCUUACACCUGGGGCCGCAAACGUGCUACAAUGGCGGGUACAAAGGGCUGCUGCAUCGCGAGAUGUGGCGAACCUCCAAAACCCGCCCCAGUUCGGAUUGCAGCCUGCAACUCGGCUGCAUGAAGUCGGAAUCGCUAGUAAAGGGACAUCAGCUACGGUCCCUUGAAUACGUUCCCGGGCCUUGUACACACCGCCCGUCACAUCAUGGAAGUCGGUCUCACCCAAAGCCACUGAGCUGACCCGCAAGGGAGGCAGGUGCCAAAGGUGGGCCCGGCGACUGGGAUGAAGUCGUAACAAGGUAGCCGUUGGGGAACCAGCGGCUG